rnacentral:rRNA from 1 species
AUGUUUGAGAAGGAAUGCAAGCAUGAUCCCGCCAUGCUAUGUGCAGACGAAUGCUCUGAAGAUUGUAAACUGCGUUUAUACAGGAAGUACACCCCCUCGUGAGGGGGCUUGACGGUGGUUUAAGGGUUAAGAUCAACUAGGUCCGUGUCAGCAGCCGGGGCAUACGGAGUAUCCAAAGGUUAUCCGGAUUCAUUGGGUUUAAAGGGUCCGUAGGUGGAUAAUUAAGUCAGAGGUGAAAGUCUGCAGGUCAUUUGUAGAAUUGCCUAUUUUACUGGUUAUCUUGAGUCGUUGUGAAGUGGUUAGAAUAUGUAGUAUAGCGGUGAAAUGCAUAGAUCUUACAUAGAAUACCAAUUGGUAGGCAGAUCACUAAUAAUUUAUUGACACUGAUGGUGAAAGCGAGGGGGGAAAACACGAUAGAUACCCUGGUGUCCACGCCCUA